rnacentral:tRNA from 10 species
UCUUUGAUGGUCUAACGGUCAUGAUUUCCGCUUGUCACGCGGGAGACCGGGGUUCGACUCCCCGUCAGAGAG